rnacentral:rRNA from 1 species
UAUACAGCGAAACUGCGAAUGGCUCAUUAUAUAAGUUAUCGUUUAUUUGAUAGUACCUUACUACAUGGAUAACCGUGGUAAUUCUAGAGCUAAUACAUGCUAAAAAUCCCGACUUCGGAAGGGAUGUAUUUAUUAGAUUAAAAACCAAUGCCCUCUGGGCUCCUUGGUGAUUCAUGAUAACUUCUCGAAUCGCAUGGCCUUGUGCCGGCGAUGGUUCAUUCAAAUUUCUUCCCUAUCAACUUUCGAUGUUUGGGUAUUGGCCAAACAUGGUCGCAACGGGUAACGGAGGGUUAGGGCUCGACCCCGGAGAAGGAGCCUGAGAAACGGCUACUACAUCCAAGGAAGGCAGCAGGCGCGCAAAUUACCCAAUCCCGACACGGGGAGGUAGUGACAAUAAAUACUGAUACAGGGCUCUUUCGGGUCUUGUAAUUGGAAUGAGUACAAUUUAAAUCCCUUAACGAGGAACAAUUGGAGGGCAAGUCUGGUGCCAGCAGCCGCGGUAAUUCCAGCUCCAAUAGCGUAUAUUAAAGUUGUUGUGGUUAAAAAGCUCGUAGUUGAACCUUGGGCCUGGCUGUCCGGUCCGCCUCACCGCGUGUACUGGUUCGGCCGGGCCUUUCCCUCUGUGGAACCUCAUGCCCUUCACUGGGCGUGACGGGGAAACAGGACUUUUACUGUGAAAAAAUUAGAGUGCUCCAGGCAGGCCUAUGCUCGAAUACAUUAGCAUGGAAUAAUGAAAUAGGACGUGCGGUUCUAUUUUGUUGGUUUCUAGGACCGCCGUAAUGAUUAAUAGGGACAGUCGGGGGCAUCAGUAUUCAAUUGUCAGAGGUGAAAUUCUUGGAUUUAUUGAAGACUAACUACUGCGAAAGCAUUUGCCAAGGAUGUUUUCAUUAAUCAGGAACGAAAGUUAGGGGAUCGAAGACGAUCAGAUACCGUCGUAGUCUUAACCAUAAACUAUGCCGACUAGGGAUCGGACGAUGUAAAUAAUUGACUCGUUCGGCACCUUACGAGAAAUCAAA